rnacentral:rRNA from 1 species
CCAGCUCCAAUAGCGUAUAUUUAAGUUGUUGCAGUUAAAAAGCUCGUAGUUGGAUUUUGGGCGUGAGUGAUCGGUCUGCCGUUUUGGUUGAACUGUUCUGCUCUUGCCUUCUUGUCGGGGACGUGUCCUGGCCUUCAUUGGCUGGGGCUCGGAGUCGGCGAUGUUACUUUGAAAAAAUUAGAGUGUUCAAAGCAGGCCUACGCUCUGAAUACAUUAGCAUGGAAUAACGCUAUAGGACUCGGGUCCUAUUGUGUUGGUUUUCAGGACCGGAGUAAUGAUUAAUAGGGACAGUUGGGGGCAUUCGUAUUUCAUUGUCAGAGGUGAAAUUCUUGGAUUUAUGAAAGACGAACUUCUGCGAAAGCAUUUGCCAAGGAUGUUUUCA